rnacentral:lncRNA from 10 species
ACUACAGGUCCUGGAUUCUGCCCUGAAGGCACCCGGUGGCCCACCUUCCAUAUUGUACCUGAUUGUCAGGUUUUCAAAGCACACUCGCCUGAGGGUGUUAGAAACAAGCCAGAGAAAACUAAAGCCCAGAGAAGAGCCCUAGGAUAGCCUGUCACUGGGAGAGCUGACUUUUCAAGCCUCUGUGAUUUGGUUUGGUUUGGGUUGGGUUGGGUUGCGUUUUUUCUUACCUUUCUUGCCAUAGAUCAGGGUCUCACGAACCUCUUAAGAGUCAAUGGCCCGUCCACUAUCAGUGAAGCAAUAUAUAUAUUUUUUUAUUUUGUUUAUUUGUUGUUGUUUGAGACAGAGUCUUGAUUUGUCACUCAGGCUGCAGUGCCGUGUCUCGAUCUUGGCUCACUGCAACCUCCGCCUCCCUGGUUCAAUCCAUUCUCUUGUCCCAGCCUCUCCAGUAGCUGGUAUUACAGGUGCAUACCACCACGCUCAGCUAAUUUUUUUUUUUUUUUUGUAUUUUUAAUAGAGACAAUGUUUCACCAUGUUGGCCAGGCUGGUCUCGAACUCCUGACCUCAAGUGACCCGCCCGCCUUGUCCUCGAAUAGUGCUGGGAUUACAGGUGCGACCCACCACACCCGGCUGCAAUGUUUGUUUUAAUUACUUUUGGCAAGUAUUUCCUGAGUACCCCGAGCGUGCCAGGUGAAGAGAGACGGAUAAUAACAGCGCUAGCCAGCACGUAUUAAGCCUUGCAAAGCUGCACGGGCAUGAACUUGUGGCUUCAACACAACCUUAUGAGGCCCACCACAGCUGCCAAACAUGAGGUGAUGGGACAGCCCUCGUGGCCUCCACCCACCGCCCUGGUGGAGAAGUGAAACAUGAACCCACCAGUGCAAGACAGAGGAAGAGGCACCAGCGAAGGGAAAUGUUCACUGAUGAAUUCAUGAAUGAAGGAUGAUUACUUUUUCCCCUGAUCAGGGCUUGGGCUGCUGUUUCACGUGUACCAUCUUAAGGACUGUGACACCCAAAAAAGGCUCUGCCACUUAGAUACAAAGGCAUUUCUCCUCCUCUGAGCCUCAGUUUCCUCAACUGUAAGACUAGGGUGGGGGAGAUUUAAUUCCUGACUUGCAGGGUUUGCAAAGUGAAACAAAUGCCGCCAGGCUCACAGAGGCAUGGUGAAGACUCAGGCGCCUCCGGUACUAUAAAGAGUGAAGAUGGCCUUCGGCUCCAUGAAGGGUUUCCUAAGAGGGCAGGGACAGCUCCUUGGUCCCUGACACAAUAGCACACACUAGGGCCAAGAGCAGGGUCUCAUCACCUCACUCACAAACAGUGGCUGAGGUUGACACGGGGGAUCCCUGUGUGAAUCAGAACUCCUAGGACUCUAGGUGACAGAAACUCCUCUCCAACUAGCCUAGGGGAAACUGAUAAAUGCAGGGUGAAGAAUGUGCGGGUAGGGUAUCUCCAGUAAGCCCAGGGGAAACGCGGAGAUGCAGCAGGGCCAGGGCAGCCAAGGGGCUCGCUCGCACUCUCUCUCUCUC